GAAGGGGGAUGCAAGCGUUAUCCGGAAUCACUGGGCGUAAAGCGUCUGUAGGUGGUGAUGCAAGUCACUGGUGCAAAACUCUGGCUCAACCGGAGGAAAGCCAGUGAAACUGCAUGACUAGAGUGUGGGAGAGGUAGAAGGAAUUCCCUGAGUAGCGGUGAAAUGCGUAGAUACAGGGAAGAACACCGGGGGCGAAAGCGUUCUACUGGAACACAACUGACACUGAGAGACGAGAGCUAGGGGAGCGAAUGGG
rnacentral:rRNA from 1 species